UGCGUAGGCGGAAAAUUAAGUCAGUGGUGAAAUCCUGCGGCUCAACCGUAGAACUGUCAUUGAUACUGAUUUUCUUGAAUACAGUUGAGGUAGGCGGAAUAUGUAAUGUAGCGGUGAAAUGCUUAGAUAUUACACAGAACACCGAUUGCGAAGGCAGCUUACUAAGCUGAUAUUGACGCUGAGGCACGAAAGCGUGGGGAGCGAACAGGAUUAGAUACCCUGGUAGUCC
rnacentral:rRNA from 1 species